GACGAACGCUGGCGGCGGGCUUAACACAUGCAAGUCGAACGAGUGGCGGACGUGUGAGUAAUGCUUGGGAAUCUAGCUUAUGGAGGGGGAUAACUACGGGAAACUGUAGCUAAUACCGCGUACCAUAGGAUGAGCCCAAGUGGGAUGAGGUAGUUGGUGAGGUAAAGGCUCACCAAGACGACGAUCUCUAGCUGGUCUGAGAGGAUGACAAGUCAAACUGGAACUGAGACACGGCCCAGACUCCUACGGGAGGCAGCAGUGGGGAAUAUUGGGCAAUGGGGGAAAGCUGACGCAGCCAUGCCGCGUGAAUGAAGAAGGCCUUCGGGUUGUAAAGUACUUUCGGUAGCGAGGCGUUAACUACAGAAGAAGCACCGGCUAACUCCGUGCCAGCAGCCGCGGUAAUAC
rnacentral:rRNA from 1 species